UUCUGAAAGUUGGUGCACUGCAGCGUAUACCUGCGCCUCAAGAAGCGUCACCCGAACGACGCCAAUACUAUUGUCUGCCGAGUCUGAUCUAGAUGACGACGAGGAGGGUGAUGCUGACAGUACUAUUAUAGAGGUCACAUCGAAGCUGGAGUUACCUGAUAUUGCUGAAGAUAAUCCAGCUCAACCUUGAUAAGAGCAAGCUGAAGUCGGCGGAGCUGUUUUUACCCCCAAGGGAAGGGACCGCCGACACAGCCUUGGUCCAGGAUCCUUAGAUAGCGCCGGGCAACAAGGUAUCUGGACUUAAAUUCAACAACUACAACACAUACUACCCGACACCGUACUGACGAUCUAACAGUCGUGGUGCUUGGGGGCGUUAGGGGCGAGCCACUAUUGCUUGCCUCUGCGCACGACCAACCAACGAUUGAUCAACUUCAGCGCCUGUUUCUAGAGACGAAGAAGAAUAGCUGGCAUGGAUGCUAAUGCACACCAUGACAUCUGGGGCAGCAGCGAUGCAAACGCAAGGGAAAAAAUUAGUGUAUUAGUAUUUACUACGCUAAGUACGAUUUGCAUAUGUACAAAGAGCUGUCCCUUAUUUUGCAUCAUAUAUGUUGGAAUAAAUCUUGAGUUCUGCUCAACAUAACCCGCUCUCUCGCUCAACCGCUACCGCCAACCUAAUACAAUAGAUUGCCUCCGCUCGGCCAACCGUAGCCUAGCGCCUGGACCCGCAAAGAUCUUGUGGGCCCGCAACAGCUAA